rnacentral:rRNA from 1 species
GCUGGGGAGUACGGCCGCAAGGUAAAAUCAAAGGAAUUGACGGGGCCCGCACAAGGGGGAGCAUGGGUUAAUUCGAUGCAACGCGAAGAACCUUACCAAGGCUUGACAUGUUCUCGAUCGCCGUAGAGUACGUUUCCCCUUUGGGGCGGUUCACAGGUGGUGCAUGGUGUCGUCAGCUCGUGUCGUGAGAUGUUGGGUUAAGUCCCGCAACGAGCGCAACCCUCGUUCCAUGUUGCCAGCACGUAGUGGUGGGGACUCAUGGGAGACUGCCGGGGUCAACUCGGAGGAAGGUGAGGACGACGUCAAAUCAUCAUGCCCCUUAUGUCUUGGGCUUCACGCAUGCUACAAUGGCCGGUACAAUGGGUUGCGAUACUGUGAGGUGGAGCUAAUCCCAAAAAGCCGGUCUCAGUUCGGAUUGGGGUCUGCAACUCGACCCCAUGAAGUGGAGUCGCUAGUAAUCGCAGAUCAGCAACGCUGCGGUGAAUACGUUCCCGGGCCUUGUACACACCGCCCGUCAAGUCACGAAAGUUGGUAACACCCGAAGCCGGUGGCCUAACCCUUGUGGGGGGAGCCGUCGAAGGUGGGACCAGCGAUUG